rnacentral:rRNA from 1 species
GAUGAACGCUGGCGGCGUGCUUAACACAUGCAAGUCGAACGGGAAUUAUUUUAUUGAAACUUCGGUCGAUAUGAUUUAAUUCUAGUGGCGGACGGGUGAGUAACGCGUGGGUAACCUGCCUUGUACAGGGGGAUAACAGUCAGAAAUGGCUGCUAAUACCGCAUAAGCGCACAGAGCUGCAUGGCUCCGUGUGAAAAACUACGGUGGUAUAUGAUGGACCCGCGUUGGAUUAGCUUGUUGGCAGGGUAACGGCCUACCAAGGCGACGAUCCAUAGCCGGCCUGAGAGGGUGAACGGCCACAUUGGGACUGAGACACGGCCCAGACUCCUACGGGAGGCAGCAGUGGGGAAUAUUGCACAAUGGGGGAAACCCUGAUGCAGCGACGCCGCGUGAAGGAAGAAGUAUCUCGGUAUGUAAACUUCUAUCAGCAGGGAAGAGAUUGACGGUACCUGACUAAGAAGCCCCGGCUAACUACGU